rnacentral:rRNA from 1 species
UGCUAUACAUGCAGUCGAACGCACAGCGAAAGGUGCUUGCACCUUUCAAGUGAGUGGCGAACGGGUGAGUAACACGUGGACAACCUGCCUCAAGGCUGGGGAUAACAUUUGGAAACAGAUGCUAAUACCGAAUAAAACUUAGUGUCGCAUGACACAAAGUUAAAAGGCGCUUCGGCGUCACCUAGAGAUGGAUCCGCGGUGCAUUAGUUAGUUGGUGGGGUAAAGGCCUACCAAGACAAUGAUGCAUAGCCGAGUUGAGAGACUGAUCGGCCACAUUGGGACUGAGACACGGCCCAAACUCCUACGGGAGGCUGCAGUAGGGAAUCUUCCACAAUGGGCGAAAGCCUGAUGGAGCAACGCCGCGUGUGUGAUGAAGGCUUUCGGGUCGUAAAGCACUGUUGUAUGGGAAGAACAGCUAGAAUAGGAAAUGAUUUUAGUUUGACGGUACCAUACCAGAAAGGGACGGCUAAAUACGUGCCAGCAGCCGCGGUAAUACGUAUGUCCCGAGCGUUAUCCGGAUUUAUUGGGCGUAAAGCGAGCGCAGACGGUUUAUUAAGUCUGAUGUGAAAGCCCGGAGCUCAACUCCGGAAUGGCAUUGGAAACUGGUUAACUUGAGUGCAGUAGAGGUAAGUGGAACUCCAUGUGUAGCGGUGGAAUGCGUAGAUAUAUGGAAGAACACCAGUGGCGAAGGCGGCUUACUGGACUGCAACUGACGUUGAGGCUCGAAAGUGUGGGUAGCAAACAGGAUUAGAUACCCUGGUAGUCCACACCGUAACGAUGAACACUAGGUGUUAGGAGGUUUCCGCCUCUUAGUGCCGAAGCUAACGCAUUAAGUGUUCCGCCUGGGGAGUACGACCGCAAGGUUGAAACUCAAAGGAAUUGACGGGGACCCGCACAAGCGGUGGAGCAUGUGGUUUAAUUCGAAGCAACGCGAGAACCUUACCAGGUCUU